rnacentral:rRNA from 1 species
GAUGAACGCUGGCGGCGUGCCUAAUACAUGCAAGUCGAGCGAACUGAUUAGAGGCUUGCUUCUAUGACGUUAGCGGCGGACGGGUGAGUAACACGUGGGCAACCUGCCUGUAAGACUGGGAUAACUUCGGGAAACCGAAGCUAAUACCGGAUAGGAUCUUCUCCUUCAUGGGAGAUGAUUGAAAGAUGGUUUCGGCUAUCACUUACAGAUGGGCCCGCGGUGCAUUAGCUAGUUGGUGAGGUAACGGCUCACCAAGGCAACGAUGCAUAGCCGACCUGAGAGGGUGAUCGGCCACACUGGGACUGAGACACGGCCCAGACUCCUACGGGAGGCAGCAGUAGGGAAUCUUCCGCAAUGGACGAAAGUCUGACGGAGCAACGCCGCGUGAGUGAUGAAGGCUUUCGGGUCGUAAAACUCUGUUGUUAGCGAAGAACAAGUACGAGAGUAACUGCUCGUACCUUGACGGUACCUAACCAGAAAGCCACGGCUAACUACGUGCCAGCCGCCGCCGUAAUAC